AGGACUUAGCUGCCUUGUGAACA
rnacentral:miRNA from 1 species